rnacentral:rRNA from 1 species
GAAUUUUGGACAAUGGGCGCAAGCCUGAUCCAGCCAUCCCGCGUGGGUGAAGAAGGCCUUCGGGUGGUAAAGCCCUUUUGUCGGGAAAGAAAAGCAGUCGGCUAAUACCCGGUUGUUCUGACGGUACCCAAACAAUAAGCACCGGCUAACUCAGUGGCAGCCGCCGCGGUAAUACGAAGGGUGCAAGCGUUAGUCGGAAUUCCUGGGCGUAAAGCGUGCGUAGGUGGUUGGUUAAGUCUGUUGUGAAAGCCCUGGGCUCAACCUGGGAAUUGCAGUGGAUACUGGGCGACUAGAGUGUGGUAGAGGGUAGUGGAAUUCCCGGUGUAGCAGUGAAAUGCGUAGAGAUCGGGAGGAACAUCCAUGGCGAAGGCAGCUACCUGGACCAACACUGACACUGAGGCACGAAAGCGUGGGGAGCAAACAG